rnacentral:misc_RNA from 1 species
GAAACGCGAUAGUUAAUGUGAAUUGCAGAAUUCAGUGAAUCAUCGAGUCUUUGAACGCACAUUGCGCCCAUAGGUAUUCCUUUGGGCAUGUCUGUUUGAGCGUCAUUACAACCCUCAGCUAACCGCUGGUUUUGAACCUGAACGGGUGACACAGCGCCGGUUUUAAAGUUGUAAGCUCUGCUGGCCGCUCUGCCCAACCAGAACAUAGUAAGCACUACUUGUCCGGGUGAAGCUGAACGGUACGGCCUGAACAAAACCUACCCACUCUCAAGGUUUGACCUCAGAUCAGACAAGGAUACCCGCUGAACUUAAGC